rnacentral:rRNA from 1 species
AUUGAACGCUGGCGGCAUGCCUUACACAUGCAAGUCGAACGGCAGCAUGGAGAGCUUGCUCUCUGAUGGCGAGUGGCGAACGGGUGAGUAAUGCAUCGGAACGUACCGUGUAAUGGGGGAUAACGUAGCGAAAGUUACGCUAAUACCGCAUACGACCUGAGGGUGAAAGCAGGGGACCUUCGGGCCUUGCGCGAUUGAAUGAGCCGAUGUCGGAUUAGCUAGUUGGCGGGGUAAAGGCCCACCAAGGCGACGAUCCGUAGCUGGUCUGAGAGGAUGAUCAGCCACACUGGAACUGAGACACGGUCCAGACUCCUACGGGAGGCAGCAGUGGGGAAUAUUGGACAAUGGGCGCAAGCCUGAUCCAGCCAUACCGCGUGGGUGAAGAAGGCCUUCGGGUUGUAAAGCCCUUUUGUUGGGAAAGAAAUCCAGCUGGCUAAUACCCGGUUGGGAUGACGGUACCCAAAGAAUAAGCACCGGCUAACUUCGUGCCAGCCGCCGCGGUAA